GUUUCGUUUUUUUAAGUUCACCAUUAAAAUGAGCAUUUAACACCAUCACACCUCUCCUCCCACUCCGCCUCAUUUAUUUAUUCUAAUUGGCGACGAAGGUAAGCGAUGAAUGUCUGAGUUCGGUACUACUUCAGACUAUAAAUGUCUCCCUUAUAUGCCAUGAACAGCUUCACCGCUCUGAUUUCUCAAAGAUUGUACUCUGCCAAGCAUCACCGCACACUAUGUCGACUUCCUAUGUUCUUCUCGCAAAUGUGGGCCAUUGCUCAAACACAGCCAAGGUCCUUUCUUGACGUUCUACAGAAGAAGAAACUUCGUGAUGACUUGAAGAGCCUUUUUUUCUUCCAAAGAAAAAUCUCACAGUGAUGAAAGCGACUGAAGUGAAGGAAUCAGCUAUUACUCGAAGGCUCCAAAAGGGACUCUGAAGAUAAUUGUUCCUCGCAGUGUAAAUGCUGAUGAUUCUGAUGAUGAUGAUAGAUAUAAAGAAAGUGACGAUGAUGAGGAUGACACUGAAUCUCUUAUGGCUGAACUAGACCAGAUAAAUAAAUAAAGAGUGGAGGAGAGGCUCAGGAAGUAAAAGCAGCAGCAAAUGGAAGAGCUAAACGCCAAAAAAGAGAAACUUCCCAAAGGAAACCCACUUCUUGACAACACUCCAACUUUGCUUAGUGUCAAAA